rnacentral:rRNA from 1 species
UGCGCAGGCGGUUGUGCAAGACAGAUGUGAAAUCCCCGGGCUCAACCUGGGAAUUGCAUUUGUGACUGCACGGCUAGAGUGUGUCAGAGGGGGGUAGAAUUCCACGUGUAGCAGUGAAAUGCGUAGAGAUGUGGAGGAAUACCGAUGGCGAAGGCAGCCCCCUGGGAUAACACUGACGCUCAUGCACGAAAGCGUGGGGAGCAAACAGGAUUAGAUACCCUGGUAGUCCACGCCCUAAACGAUGUCUACUAGUUGUCGGGUCUUAAUUGACUUGGUAACGCAGCUAACGCGUGAAGUAGACCGCCUGGGGAGUACGGUCGCAAGAUUAAA